UACGUAGGGGGCAAGCGUUGUCCGGAUUCAUUGGGCGUAAAGAGCGUGUAGGCGGCCAGAUAAGUCCGCUGUGAAAUCUCGAGGCUCAACUUCGAGCUGUCGGUGGAAACUGUCUGGCUAGAGUCCGGAAGAGGAGAAUGGAAUUCCUGGUGUAGCGGUGAAAUGCGCAGAUAUCAGGAAGAACACCCGUGGCGAAGGCGGUUCUCUGGGACGGUACUGACGCUGAGACGCGAAAGCGUGGGGAGCGAACAGG
rnacentral:rRNA from 1 species